rnacentral:rRNA from 1 species
GCCAUGCCGCGUGCGGGAAGAAGGCCUUCGGGUUGUAAACCGCUUUUGUCAGGGAAGAAAAGGUUCUGGCUAAUACCCGGGACUCAUGACGGUACCUGAAGAAUAAGCACCGGUAAACUACGUGCCAGCAGCCGCGGUAAUA